UUUUUUUUUUUUUUUUUUUUAAAUUACUCGCGUACUUCUGUAAAUUGAAUAACGUUUUCAAUUUCUACUUGACGAUUACUGUGGGAUGUAAAUCUAAUUUGAAAUGAAAUUAGAACUUCUUACGAGCAUUUAAUCGGGGGUCCUCUUUCGUAAAUAAAUAUGAAAUGAUUAAUGUUGAUCUGAAUUCAAGCGUAAAUUUAAUUAAAUUUUAAAUGAAAAUGCAACAUGCAGCAUGCAGACUUUCUCGUUUUAUUCGGAAUUCACUAGACAAAGUGUAAAGAUGCUUAAUAUCCGCGAUGCGAGCGUUCUAAGUUUUUUUUUUAUAGGCGCGUGUGCGUGUGAGUGUGGAUGUGACUGUUAACGGUCUCUUUCAGAUAUCACUAUUUGUACACUAGUAUUAUUAUUACUUGUAUCUGCGUAUACACAAACACACACAUAUACAUAUAUAUAUAUAUAUAUACAUAUAUAUAUAUCUUGUUUUUUUUUAUUUUUUAAAUUAUUUAAUCAAAGGCUUGGUCAGUCAGUUAAGCUGAUUAUGUAAGUAUGUAAUAUGCGUGGGGCGCUGUGUCUCUAGGUCUAUCAAACAAAUUCGUUGAAGGAUUUAUUAAGUUAAUGGUUGGCUGAGAGCAAUACCGUUUUCCAGGGAAGUUUAGAGACUUUUUUGUAUCGACAGGGCUGUUGAAAAAGUCAUCUUGGCUUCUACCGACCUACCAAUGUCCUCGAUGCGUUCGUUUUUUUUUUUAUUCUACGUAGAUGAGUACCACUGCUCGAUAUAAUCAGGGCAUUGGGUUUUCUGGACAAUUUUAGAGUUCGUUCUCUAGAGUUAAGUAUAUCGGGAAUGAAGGAAAUACUAUGUAUUUAAUAUAGUAAAUAUUUUUUAUCGAACUCGACUGAGUCUAACUUCGAAGUAUUGAUUACUUUACCAAGGGAUCAUGUAACACGAGUAGGUGGUCUCAUUAUUUUGAGCAGUGUAUCGAGCCCAUAAUUAGACGCUUUUUUUGGUGAGAGAAUCUAUUCCAGUUGAAUAGAUGUAUCUUUCUUUAAUCUAACAACAACUGGAAUUCAUUCUUGCAACGAACGCCACGAGCACUGAAAAGUAUACAAUUGUCUUCAUCCGUUCGCACAUGUUCCCAACAAAGUACGGUUUAUAGAAAGCUACUGUGUAGGUUUCACGUGAAAUCAGUCCAGCACGAUAAACAAUUACGUUUAACGACGAUAUUGCUACUAAAUUAGUAGAGAUCUCGGAUAACAUCACUACUGAAUCAGUAGGACUUCAUUGGACGUCGAAGCAGUAUUUUAUUGCAACAUAUUCGAUCGAAUUAAACACGUACAGGCAUCUUUUUGGGAGGGCAGUCGAACACAGAGACGAUCCCUCGAGCUAAAUUUUUGGUUCCAUAGGUUUUGUUUAUUUGUGAAAUUAAACUCAAAUAUUUGUUACUUGCGAACUUGCUACGGUAAUUGAAAAAUUGUUAGUUUAACAAUUCUAGUAUAGAUCAAAAUUCUAGUAUAGAUCAAAAUUUGAAGUAAUGAACGAAAGAUAAACAAAACUUGUUGGUCUUUGGAGCAAUAAAUAGAAAUCAAUUUUAUCGAAAGGAAAUAUUUUUGUUUGCCCUCAAAGUAGUAAACGAAAGACUAUUUAUUUAAAAGGAAAAUUCCUUUGAGGAAUUGGAUACCCCAGAGAUGGGCAAAUAUGAAACGUUUCGAAUAACACAACAGAUGAAACACUUUUGACUUAUUAUUUAUUCGAUAAAAAUUGAAAAUAUAUUUGGUAUCAAGCUUGUCAAGAUUAUUAUCAUACCAAAUAUAAAACUGACAAUCUAAAUUAUACGUUCGAUUUAUAUUCUGAAUAUAUUACUGUGGACACCUUUUUAUUCGUUGUUCGAAUAAAACUGUCAUGCAUAAUCUUAUAGCCAAGGUGACUUUUUCGAAAGCUUCUAAAAUUUCAUUCGAUAUUCCCAUCGAAGAUAAAUAUUGUCUCUCAGCUCGCGCGUCCUUUGUAUGUUUUCUAUUAUAUUUUUCUUUUGCGUCGAGUCAAAUCAGUGUCGACAUUCGCAAACAUAUCCGAACGUAUUUUUCUUUGAACAGGCUCAAAAGAGUCGGAUAUAUAAAUUCAUCGUCCAUUGCGGUGAACGUCGAGAUUUCUGUAAAUUAAACGUGUCUUUCGAAGGAAUGUAUUUCCAAUCCACGAUCUCUAAAGUGACGUGAAAUUUGAAUUUCUUAGUAGAAAUGGUGGUGAACUGCGUGAGAAAAAUUCAAAUUCUGUGCAACGCAGAACUUUCUACAAUUAACAGAGAUGAGGCAAUAUUCUUAGUCGAAUAAAAGUUAGGAUAACGAAUACAAGAUAUAAACACCUGUCUAUUCGUUGUUUGUUAAAUGAAAAUACAAAUUGAUUCGUGAACUUUAGAAUAUUUCACAGUAAAGGAAUAAAAGGAUACAUUGGUUUCAUUAGUUAUUUGCUCGAGUUUGAAUUCUCGAAGGAAACGAUUUUAUAAUGAAUAAAUAAGAAAUUUAAUUGUUUUAUCGAAUAAAUGACACGAACAACACGCUGUUUAUUACUUUAUCUAUUCGUCAUCUGUUAUUCGAAUGAAAUAAUUUUGCCAAUCUCUGGUUAACCGUGACUGAACAGAUCCGCCCGAUCUCUGGACCUGUAAAUGCGGCACCUUCGUUUUAAUCCGAUCGUGUGAAGUCGUGCAAUGGAUGUAAAUAGUCGUACUAGAUGUUGGGGGCAUUCUGAAGCUGCACAACUCGGGACAAAUAGGCAAAAGCGCAGAAAAUGAGGAUCGUCAGUUUGUUUGCUGAAUGCAGAGCGGGUGAUCGCGAUUCUAAUUUAUUUCAAAAGAAACUUUUAACGCUGUUAAUCCUAGGACUUCUGGGGUCUCGAUUGACCCUACGCAUUUCUAGACCUAUCGAUACUUUAUUUAUUUUAAACUCACGAAGGAUUUGAUAUAUACAUGUUUUCAUUUCCUUUUAUUAGGUUAUCCCAAAAGUUUUUUUCGUUUUAUUAAUAAUUAAUUAAUAUAUACACAAUAUUGUAUGUUUUAUGUUACAUUACUGAAUUGUGUACGAUUCAUUUCGCUCCAUGACUGUUACAGCAUCAAUGUCUAAGAAAUUAAAUUGUCUAUUUAUAGAAACAUUGCCACACAAAAUAAUUGAGUGCAAAUUACGAAAGAAACUUUUGGGACAACCUAAAAUAUAUAAAAAUUACUGAUAUUUAGGAUCACAAUACCCUUCAGUUUGUUAAAGUUUUAGCUGUAGCUAUAAACUGUAGCUACAAUCACACAUAGCUAUAGACCCUGAGGUGGAAGUCUAUAAUUGAUUAUAAUAACAUAAUAAUUAUAAUAUUACUAGUUAUACGUAAUUAUUCAAUCGAAUAGUUUUAACCAGUGUACAUGGAUUCUGUUUGUUAUAUGUUAGCUUGAAACGAUCCAUUCUUGAAUUCUCUAAGAAUUCUCUAGAAAUGCGUGGGAGUCAGUCGAGAUUCCAUUCUAGAUUUAAACUUAAGGGGGUAUCCUGAAUUAGGAGGUUUAAGAAAAGCGGUGAAUUUUUUCGUGAAUUUUUUUAGGAUGGAAACAAAAUAAUUCAUUCCAUCGAUCGUUUUUAUUCUAUUUUCAUACAUAUUUGAGUAGUCUGUAGAAAUGUUGUCAGCAAGAAAUAUUCAAAUUGAGUCGACUGUGACGCACAUUUGUAGACCACCUCACAAAUAAAACCUCCUAUCAGGGGGAAAAAUGCAGAAAUUUUCAUUUUCAUACAUUUUUCUUCUAGGUGCUUUACAAAUAUGCAUAGCAGUCGAUUCAAGUUGAAUAUUGUUUCUUGAAAAAAUUUGUACAGACUACUCAAAUAUGUAUGAAAAUAGGAUAAAAAGUUCGAUGGAAUUAUUUAAUUUUUUCCAUCCUAAAAAAAUUCACGGGAAACCGCUUUUUUUUUUAGACCUCCUAAUUCAGGAUACCCCUUUAAUUCGUCAACUGCGUUCAUUAGAGAAAUAGUUAUUGUUCAAUUCUGGUUGACGAUUACUCGCCAAGCCUUCAGCGAGAUCAAUUAGAGAUCAAUGAAGGGAAGCUGGCAUCAGAACGAAUCGAAAUGGAACAUUGUAUUUUGCUGUUGAGUGGCAAGUACUGUUAGCACGCGAGAAGAUUGCUAUUAACUCCUCCCACGGGACGAGUCACGGCGAACAUUUUAACCCUCUCGGCCCUAGUGAGACAUACAGUGGCGUGCAUAAGUUUUCAGACAGAUACAUUUGCCAUUUAAUAUUCCGAAAGCGAUAUCUAAAGUAAUUUUAGCUAAUGUUAGAUACCAAGGUAUUGCUAAACGAAAGAAAACAGUGGAAAAAUUAACUCUAUUUAUUAUUUUGACAUAUUUACCAAGCUGUAAUAUCGCUUUUCGGAAUAGAAAGUAAAAGAUGUAUCUGGCAGGAAACUCGCACGCGACAUGUUAUUUGUGUCUAGAGUGAGAGAAAAAUAUCUCAUUGACUUCCUUGAAGGCGAUUGGCUGCGAUACUAGUGGGAGGAGUUUGUAGAUAUCUUCUCGCGCGCGACCUGUACAAGUAACGAUUACCGAGAGGGGAAAAGCGAUGAAAAUAUCAUUUCCUUUUUUUUUUUUGUACAUAGUGAUCGUCGGUCGACGGGAGGCAGAAAGUAACGGAGAACGCGCGGGGAAAUAUUAUGUGUACAUGAACAAUGUGAUAUAAGUAAUUAAUUAAAUUACUUGGCACUAUAGCGUUUAAGCAAGAAAACUGUUAAACUGUUUACAGCGUAGACGUACGAUGCUAACUAUUAUUUACUAACAUCCUAAAUGAAUCGUAAGGGAAUCUAAUUGUACAUAGAAUUAUGAAAGAAAGAGCGAGUGAAAGAAAGAGUGUGCGUGGGUAAAAGGAAAUCACGAGAUGUAUAAUUAUAUCGAACAUGAGAAAUGAAUGAAAAUAGAACGAAAACCGAAGUCGAAUACGUGAGAAGAAAAAAAAAGAACCCUACGUCUUGUAUAUCCCUCGUGAUAGAGCCUGUAGAUUGUAAUUCUCGUGCGUGAAUGGGGAACAACGCGAAGAAUAUGUGCGACGACCGAGCGUUCUAGUAAGAGUGUUGUUGUUGUUGUAGUCUAUGUCGAAUUUUGUUAUAUGCCAAUCCGCCUGGCUUACGAAACACACACUGUAUAUGUCACGAACCUUCGAACAACUUGUGCAUUGAAAUGAACGGAAACAAAAAACAGAAUAAUAGUAAUAAUAGUAAUAAUAGUAAUAAAACGGAGGAAAGAACGACGAUAAAUACGCGAUAAUGAGAAAUCGGAGCGUGCCGCGAAACGGGGCGCGACGAAACCCUCGCAACACUUUUCUUUUUGUUUUCAAAAGAAUGCGACAAAUUUCAAUACAAUCUAUUACAAUAAAAACGUAAGCGUGAAGCGUU